GUAGGUGGCAAGCGUUGUCCGGAAUUAUUGGGCGUAAAGCGCGCGCAGGCGGUCCUUUAAGUCUGAUGUGAAAGCCCACGGCUCAACCGUGGAGGGUCAUUGGAAACUGGGGGACUUGAGUACAGAAGAGGAAAGCGGAAUUCCAAGUGUAGCGGUGAAAUGCGUAGAGAUUUGGAGGAACACCAGUGGCGAAGGCGGCUUUCUGGUCUGUAACUGACGCUGAGGCGCGAAAGCGUGGGGAGCAAACAGGGAUUAGAUACCCUGGUAGUCCGACGCCGUAAACGAUGAGUGCUAAGUGUUAGGGGGUUUCCCGCCCCCUUAGUGCUGCAGCUAACGCAUUAAGCACUCCGCCUGGGGAGUACGGCCGCAAGGCUG
rnacentral:rRNA from 1 species